rnacentral:rRNA from 1 species
CACGUAGGGUGCGAGCGUUGUCCGGAAUUAUUGGGCGUAAAGAGCUCGUAGGCGGUGUGUCGCGUCGGCCGUGAAAACCUGCAGCUUAACUGUGGGCGUGCGGUCGAUACGGGCAUCACUGGAGUUCGGCAGGGGAGACUGGAAUUCCUGGUGUAGCGGUGAAAUGCGCAGAUAUCAGGAGGAACACCGGUGGCGAAGGCGGUUGCCUGGAGCUUUGCUGACGCUGAGGCGCGAAAGCGUGGGGAGCGAUCCGG